rnacentral:rRNA from 1 species
UGUGAACUCGAAGAGUAGGGCGGGACACGUGGUAUCCUGUCUGAAUAUGGGGGGACCAUCCUCCAAGGCUAAAUACUCCUGACUGACCGAUAGUGAACCAGUACCGUGAGGGAAAGGCGAAAAGAACCCCGGCGAGGGGAGUGAAAAAGAACCUGAAACCGUGUACGUACAAGCAGUGGGAGCACCUUCGGGUGUGACUGCGUACCUUUUGUAUAAUGGGUCAGCGACUUAUAUUCUGUAGCAAGGUUAACCGUAUAGGGGAGCCGCAGGGAAACCGAGUCUUAACUGGGCGUUAAGUUGCAGGGUAUAGACCCGAAACCCGGUGAUCUAGCCAUGGGCAGGUUGAAGGUUGGGUAACACUAACUGGAGGACCGAACCGACUAAUGUUGAAAAAUUAGCGGAUGACUUGUGGCUGGGGGUGAAAGGCCAAUCAAACCGGGAGAUAGCUGGUUCUCCCCGAAAGCUAUUUAGGUAGCGCCUCGUGAAUUCAUCUUCGGGGGUAGAGCACUGUUUCGGCUAGGGGGUCAUCCCGACUUACCAACCCGAUGCAAACUACGAAUACCGAAGAAUGUUAUCACGGGAGACACACGGCGGGUGCUAACGUCCGUCGUGAAGAGGGAAACAACCCAGACCGCCAGCUAAGGUCCCAAAGUCAUGGUUAAGUGGGAAACGAUGUGGGAAGGCACAGACAGCCAGGAUGUUGGCUUAGAAGCAGCCAUCAUUUAAAGAAAGCGUAAUAGCUCACUGGUCGAGUCGGCCUGCGCGGAAGAUGUAACGGGGCUAAACCAUGCACCGAAGCUGCGGCAGCGACACUAUGUGUUGUUGGGUAGGGGAGCGUUCUGUAAGCCUGCGAAGGUGUGCUGUGAGGCAUGCUGGAGGUAUCAGAAGUGCGAAUGCUGACAUAAGUAACGAUAAAGCGGGUGAAAAGCCCGCUCGCCGGAAGACCAAGGGUUCCUGUCCAACGUUAAUCGGGGCAGGGUGAGUCGACCCCUAAGGCGAGGCCGAAAGGCGUAGUCGAUGGGAAACAGGUUAAUAUUCCUGUACUUGGUGUUACUGCGAAGGGGGGACGGAGAAGGCUAUGUUAGCCGGGCGACGGUUGUCCCGGUUUAAGCAUGUAGGCUGGUUAUCCAGGCAAAUCCGGAUAAUCAAGGCUGAGGUGUGAUGACGAGGCACUACGGUGCUGAAGUAACAAAUGCCCUGCUUCCAGGAAAAGUCUCUAAGCAUCAGGUAACAUCAAAUCGUACCCCAAACCGACACAGGUGGUCAGGUAGAGAAUACCAAGGCGCUUGAGAGAACUCGGGUGAAGGAACUAGGCAAAAUGGUGCCGUAACUUCGGGAGAAGGCACGCUGGUGUGUAGGUGAAGUCCCUGCGGAUGGAGCUGAGACCAGUCGAAGAUACCAGCUGGCUGCAACUGUUUAUUAAAAACACAGCACUGUGCAAACACGAAAGUGGACGUAUACGGUGUGACGCCUGCCCGGUGCCGGAAGGUUAAUUGAUGGGGUUAUCCGUAAGGAGAAGCUCUUGAUCGAAGCCCCGGUAAACGGCGGCCGUAACUAUAACGGUCCUAAGGUAGCGAAAUUCCUUGUCGGGUAAGUUCCGACCUGCACGAAUGGCGUAAUGAUGGCCAGGCUGUCUCCACCCGAGACUCAGUGAAAUUGAACUCGCUGUGAAGAUGCAGUGUACCCGCGGCAAGACGGAAAGACCCCGUGAACCUUUACUAUAGCUUGACACUGAACAUUGAGCCUUGAUGUGUAGGAUAGGUGGGAGGCUUUGAAGCGUGGACGCCAGUCUGCGUGGAGCCAACCUUGAAAUACCACCCUUUAAUGUUUGAUGUUCUAACGUUGGCCCCUUACCGGGGUUGCGGACAGUGUCUGGUGGGUAGUUUGACUGGGGCGGUCUCCUCCCAAAGCGUAACGGAGGAGCACGAAGGUUAGCUAAUCCUGGUCGGACAUCAGGAGGUUAGUGCAAUGGCAUAAGCUAGCUUGACUGCGAGCGUGACGGCGCGAGCAGGUGCGAAAGCAGGUCAUAGUGAUCCGGUGGUUCUGAAUGGAAGGGCCAUCGCUCAACGGAUAAAAGGUACUCCGGGGAUAACAGGCUGAUACCGCCCAAGAGUUCAUAUCGACGGCGGUGUUUGGCACCUCGAUGUCGGCUCAUCACAUCCUGGGGCUGAAGUAGGUCCCAAGGGUAUGGCUGUUCGCCAUUUAAAGUGGUACGCGAGCUGGGUUUAGAACGUCGUGAGACAGUUCGGUCCCUAUCUGCCGUGGGCGCUGGAGAAUUGAGGGGGGCUGCUCCUAGUACGAGAGGACCGGAGUGGACGCAUCACUGGUGUUCGGGUUGUCAUGCCAAUGGCACUGCCCGGUAGCUAAAUGCGGAAGAGAUAAGUGCUGAAAGCAUCUAAGCACGAAACUUGCCCCGAGAUGAGUUCUCCCUGAGACUUUAAGUCUCCUGAAGGAACGUUAAAGACGAUGACGUUGAUAGGCCGGGUGUGUAAGCGCAGCGAUGCGUUGAGCUAACCGGUACUAAUGAACCGUGAGGCUUAACCUU